rnacentral:rRNA from 1 species
CCUACGGGUGGCAGCAGUGGGGAAUAUUGCGCAAUGGGCGCAACCCUGACGCAGCGAUGCCGCGUGAGUGAAGAAGUACUUCGGUAUGUAAAGCUCUAUCAGCAGCGAAGAGAGUGACGGUACCGGAAUAAGAAGCACCAGCUAACUACGUGCCAGCAGCCGCGGGAAUACUUAGGGGGCGAGCGUUCGCCGGAAUGACUGGGUGUAAAGGGAGCGUAGACGGUGAUGCAAGUCAGAAGUGAAAGCGGGGGGCUCAACCCCGAGAGUGCAUCUGAAACUGUGUGACUGGAGUGCAGGAGAGGUAAGCGGAAUUCCUGGUGUAGCGGUGAAAUGCGUAGAUAUCAGGAGGAACACCAGUGGCGAAGGCGGCUUACUGG